rnacentral:lncRNA from 1 species
CCUUCUAGCUGUGGCAUGUGGGACGCCGUCUUAGUGUGGCCUGACGAGUGGUGCCAUAUCCGUGCCCUGGAUCCCAACCAGCGAAACCCCGGGCCGCCCAAGCGGAGAAGCUCGAACUUAACCACUCAGCCACGGGGCCAGCCCCUCAGAUUUCUAUUUUCAUAUCUCCCCCUUCUUUUGUAAAAGAGACCUCCUUUGAACACAGCUCAGACUGCUGUUCUCCUUACAUGAACCAGAAUUUCUGUAGAAUCAUAUUACCUGACAAAUGAGUGAGAACACCUCCUUAAACUGCCAUGUUACUUCUCACGAAUGAUGCUUGCUAUCUUGAAUGCUGGUUGUCUCCAUAGGCGGAUGCUGCCAGGAGCUGUAUUUAACGACUUGCAAAAUUCCUGAAAAUUUAACAAUUGGCUUUUGCGAACAGACAUGAACGCUAACAGCACCGCUUGUGAAAUGAGUACCACUCUCCCCAUUUGACCCUAAGAGGAAACUGAGGAAGAGAGGAGUCUGGCAAUCUGUCUGAGGUCCUAUAACUUGUGAGGGGCUGAGCCCAGGCUGCAAACCUUUCUGCUUCUCCGGUGGGGAAUUUCCGCCAUAAACCAGCCCUCAGUGACCGCAGAUCCUCAUCUGUUUACGUUCUAAUUACCGCUUGUAGCAAAACCUGGUCUGGAUCUUUGUGGGGGAGGGUAGCUUUGGGGAGGGGUGGGUGAUUCCAGCCUGGACGGUGAAGGCUGGUUGGAGGGGGACCUCAGGAAGCACUGGUUCUCUCCCCCUGUGCACCCAGCAGGGGCGGUGUGGGAACUCAAGCUAAGACACAGACUCCUGUGGAAUAUUCUCUGGGGAGAACAGCAAUGUGAACUUACUUCCUAUUAAAUUAAUGUAAGCAUAAGAUGUCAUUUCUGGCUAAGAUGAAUAUAUUUUUAUAAAUACAGUUAUUUGGGCUAAAACUGUAUUUUGUCCAGAGUCUUCACAGAGAUUUCUGAGUGGGUCAUAAUUCUCAGUGAGAAAGACACAAUAUUUUAUCACUCAAGCAAAGAGUUUGUUAUGAGUAUUAACUAAAUAUUGCUGGUCAUAACCAUUACCGACAUUAAACUGACAAUGGCAAAUUACUUUCCGACUUUUAGUGAUUCUCAUUUUAUGUAUGUAUUUUGAAAUA